rnacentral:lncRNA from 1 species
UAACAUAUCAUUAUUUAAAUAAUAAUUUUAUAAAGCACACUUACAACCCAUGCAUCACACAGGAAAAAAAAUUAGUUAUUUAUAUUUAAAGCUUUGAAUAUUCAUUUUUCUGAAAUGCUUGUCAGACAUACAUAUAUAAGAUGUGAUUUUCAGAAAUAUCUAAUUACAUAGAUCAUAUCCAUGUCGAACACAUCUAUAUCCGUCUUUCACAUUCAAGAAGCAAUAUAGGUUUAAGUUAAUCAUGUUUGUGUAAACUAUUUCAUGUUGUACUAUAUAGGUUUUGAGGUGUUCAUAUCGUGUGCAUGUUAUUUUUGUGUCGUAUUAUGUUUUCUUUAUGUUUUCCGGG